GGGGGAACCCUGAUGCAGCCAUGCCGCGUGUGUGAAGAAGGCCUUCGGGUUGUAAAGCACUUUCAGUUGUGAGGAAAAGUUAGUAGUUAAUACCUGCUAGCCGUGACGUUAACAACAGAAGAAGCACCGGCUAACUCCGUGCCAGCAGCCGCGGUAAUACGGAGGGUGCGAGCGUUAAUCGGAAUUACUGGGCGUAAAGCGCACGCAGGCGGUUUGUUAAGCUAGAUGUGAAAGCCCCGGGCUCAACCUGGGAUGGUCAUUUAGAACUGGCAGGCUAGAGUCUUGGAGAGGGGAGUGGAAUUCCAGGUGUAGCGGUGAAAUGCGUAGAUAUCUGGAGGAACAUCAGUGGCGAAGGCGACUCCCUGGCCAAAGACUGACGCUCAUGUGCGAAAGUGUGGGUAGCGAACAGGAUUAGAUACCCUGGUAGUCCACACCGUAAACGCUGUCUACUAGCUGUGUGUGCCUUUAAGGCGUGCGUAGCGAAGCUAACGCGAUAAGUAGACCGCCUGGGGAGUACGGCCGCAAGGUUAAAACUCAAAUGAAUUGACGGGGGCCGCACAAGCGGUGGAGCAUGUGGUUUAAUUCGAUGCAACGCGAAGAACCUUACCUACACUUGACAUGCUGAGAAGUUACUAGAGAUAGUUUCGUGCCUUCGGGAACUCAAACCAGGUGCUGCAUGGCUUCCUCACCUCCUGUCCUGAAAUGUUGGGUUAAUCCCGCAAC
rnacentral:rRNA from 1 species